GCCAUUGCUCUGCCUAGGGAGGGGGCUUCUUGCUUCCUUGUUUGGCUCCUUUGUUCAGACCCGGGCUCAGCGUGGGAGGCGCUGCCCAGAAAUUCAAGACCUGAAGUGGCCAACUAAUUAAGCAUAUGAGUCAUACCUGUGGCCCAGAACAUGCCCAUGCA